rnacentral:rRNA from 1 species
UACGUAGGGUGCAAGCGUUAAUCGGAAUUACUGGGCGUAAAGCGUGCGCAGGCGGUUCUGUAAGACGGGUGUGAAAUCCCCGGGCUUAACCUGGGAACUGCAUUUGUGACUGCAUCGCUGGAGUGCGGCAGAGGGGGAUGGAAUUCCGCGUGUAGCAGUGAAAUGCGUAGAUAUGCGGAGGAACACCGAUGGCGAAGGCAAUCCCCUGGGCCUGCACUGACGCUCAUGCACGAAAGCGUGGGGAGCAAACAGG